rnacentral:rRNA from 1 species
UUCUAAGGGCGUUGAAGCAUGAUCGCAAGGACAUGUGGAGCGCUUAGAAGUGAGAAUGCCGGUGUGAGUAGCGAAAGACGGGUGAGAAUCCCGUCCACCGAUUGACUAAGGUUUCCAGAGGAAGGCUCGUCCGCUCUGGGUUAGUCGGGUCCUAAGCUGAGGCCGACAGGCGUAGGCGAUGGAUAACAGGUUGAUAUUCCUGUACCACCAUUAUUCGUUUUAAGCGAUGGGGGGACGCAGUAGGAUAGGCGAAGCGUGCUGUUGGAGUGCACGUCCAAGCAGUGAGAUUGAGUGUUAGGCAAAUCCGGCACUCUUAAGAUUGAGCUGUGAUGGGGAGAGGAACUUGUUCCUCGAGUCGUUGAUUUCACACUGCCGAGAAAAGCCUCUAGCUAGAAUAACGGUGCCCGUACCGCAAACCGACACAGGUAGUCAAGAUGAGAAUUCUAAGGUGAGCGAGCGAACUCUCGUUAAGGAACUCGGCAAAAUGACCCCGUAACUUCGGGAGAAGGGGUGCUCUUUGAGGUUCACGCUUCGAAGAGCCGCAGUGAAUAGGCCCAAGCGACUGUUUAUCAAAAACACAGGUCUCUGCUAAACCGUAAGGUGACGUAUAGGGGCUGACGCCUGCCCGGUGCUGGAAGGUUAAGAGGAGUGGUUAGCGCAAGCGAAGCUACGAAUCGAAGCCCCAGUAAACGGCGGCCGUAACUAUAACGGUCCUAAGGUAGCGAAAUUCCUUGUCGGGUAAGUUCCGACCCGCACGAAAGGCGUAACGAUUUGGGCACUGUCUCAACGAGAGACUCGGUGAAAUCAUAGUACCGGUGAAGAUGCCGGUUACCCGCGACAGGACGGAAAGACCCCGUGGAGCUUUACUGUAGCCUGAUAUUGAAAUUCGGUACAGUUUGUACAGGAUAGGUAGGAGCCUUAGAAGCGUGAGCGCUAGCUUACGUGGAGGCAUUGGUGGGAUACUACCCUAAUUGUAUUGGAUUUCUAACCCGCAGCACUUAUCGUGCUGGGAGACAGUGUCAGGCGGGCAGUUUGACUGGGGCGGUCGCCUCCUAAAGAGUAACGGAGGCGCUCAAAGGUUCCCUCAGAAUGGUUGGAAAUCAUUCAUAGAGUGUAAAGGCAUAAGGGAGCUUGACUGCGAGACCUACAAGUCGAGCAGGGUCGAAAGACGGACUUAGUGAUCCGGUGGUUCCGCAUGGAAGGGCCAUCGCUCAACGGAUAAAAGCUACCCCGGGGAUAACAGGCUUAUCUCCCCCAAGAGUUCACAUCGACGGGGAGGUUUGGCACCUCGAUGUCGGCUCAUCGCAUCCUGGGGCUGUAGUCGGUCCCAAGGGUUGGGCUGUUCGCCCAUUAAAGCGGUACGCGAGCUGGGUUCAGAACGUCGUGAGACAGUUCGGUCCCUAUCCGUCGUGGGCGUAGGAAAUUUGAGAGGAGCUGUCCUUAGUACGAGAGGACCGGGAUGGACAUACCUCUGGUGUACCAGUUGUCGUGCCAACGGCAUAGCUGGGUAGCUAUGUAUGGACGGGAUAAGUGCUGAAAGCAUCUAAGCAUGAAGCCCCCCUCGAGAUGAGAUUUCCCAACUUCGGUUAUAAGAUCCCUCAAAGAUGAUGAGGUGAAUAGG